GCGCAGUGCCUGUAUCAGCAAGCGUGAUGAGGCAGCGCGCGACGCGCGUUCCCCGUCGGCGGCUCCUUGGCUCGCUGGAAGUUGCACGCUCGGGUAUUUGUGUUUCUCUUGCCGAUCGUUCACGUUUCCUAGGUUUAGGUCCACCGUCCUCCUCCUGCACUGCCUUGAGCUCUAACACCUCCAUUACUGUUUAUAACAGUGUAUUUAUUACGUAAUGUACAUACUGUAAUGUUUUGUAAGUUAUUAAUUUAUAUGAAUUAACAUUGCCUGUCGGCGGCGAUGUUAAUUGUGUAGAAAACUCGGGAUAAGAGUUGCCUUUUUUUCUCGUAACCUUUUGUAUUGCAUAAAAUACAAGAACCUGAACAUAGCUGAAGAGACAGACGCAACCCAGGAAGGGCAUUCGGGCGGCAGCUGCCCAUGGGGCCGUCUUCCCGGCGAGCUGGGGGGGGGGGGGGGGGAACCAAACGAACGAAUCCCCCCGCGAACGGGCCAGCUUUUCGAUGUCACGUUCCAACUUCCGAACAACCCAAUGUGAAUUCCUAUGCUGAAAAUGUGAACUGAUGUAAUAAUUGUGCUGUGAAACUUCUUCUGACAAAGCUUGUCCGGCAUCGUGAGCCGUGUCGAUCUCAGUUUGUAAAAUAUGUUUCAAGCUUUUGGUCCAACUUGUGACUAACUAGUUCCUGAAAAUAGCACAGCUGUGCAUGAGCAAUGGGUUUGUAUGUCUGUUGAACACCGCGUUGUUCCAGGUGGUUAUUUUAUUGUUUCCAAAAGUUUCACACAAUGUAUGUUAUAGUAUUCUAUAUUGUGUUCAGAUGCAUUCUUAAGAGAUUUUUAUAUGAAGUGAAAUAAAUGAAAGCAUGACCC